rnacentral:rRNA from 1 species
GACGAACGCUGGCGGCGUGCUUAACACAUGCAAGUCGAACGGAAAGACCCUGCUUUUGUGGGGUGCUUGAGUGGCGCACGGGUGAGUAACACGCGAGUAUCCUGCCCUUGACUUUGGGAUAUCUUCAGGAAACUGGGGCUAAUAUAGGAUAGGAGCUUUUGCUGCAUGGUGGUGGUUGGAAAGUUUCGGCGGUUGGGGAUGGAAUCGCGGCUUAUCAGCUUGUUGGUGGGGUAGUGGAUGACCAAGGCUUUGACGGGUAGCCGGCCUGGGAGGGUGACCGGCCACAAGGGGACUGAGAUACGGCCCAGACGCCAACGUGAGGCAGCAGUGGGGAAUAUUGCGCAAUGGGCGGAAGCCUGAUGCAGCAACGCCGCGUGCGGAAUGACGGCCUUCGGGUGGUAAACCGCUUUCUCCUUUGACGAAGCGUUAGUGACGUUAAUGAGUAAAAAAGCACCGGCUAACUACGUG